AACGAACGCUGGCGGCGUGCCUAACACAUGCAAGUCGAGCGAGAAAGCCCGCAAGGGUGAGUACAGCGGCGCACGGGUGCGUAACACGUGAGUAAUCUGCCCUGGAGCCCGGAAUAACCUCCCGAAAGGGAAGCUAAUGCCGGAUGAGCCCACGGGGUCCUUGGACCCUGAGGGAAAAGGCGGCCUCUGUAUACAAGCUGUCACUUCAGGAUGAGCUCGCGGCCCAUCAGCUAGUUGGCGGGGUAAUGGCCCACCAAGGCAACGACGGGUAGCUGGUCUGAGAGGACGAUCAGCCACACUGGAACUGAGACACGGUCCGGACUCCUACGGGAGGCAGCAGUGGGGAAUCUUGCGCAAUGGGCGAAAGCCUGACGCAGCAACGCCGCGUGUGUGAUGAAGGUCUUCGGAUCGUAAAGCACUGUCGCGAGGGACGACUAAGGGCCGGGUGAACAAUCCGGUCCGAUGACGGUACCUCGAGAGGAAGCACCGGCUAACUCUGUGCCAGCCGCCGCGGUAAUAC
rnacentral:rRNA from 1 species